rnacentral:rRNA from 1 species
GACGAACGCUGGCGGCGUGCUUAACACAUGCAAGUCGAGGGCACUUUGGGGGCAACUCUGAAGUGACCGGCGAACGGGUGCGUAACACGUGAGCGACCUUGCCUAGUGGUGGGGGAUAGCCGGCCCAACGGCCGGGUAAUACCGCAUAUGGUGCUUUCUUCGCAUGGAGAGAGUAGCAAAGCUUGGCAGCAAUGCCUGGCGCCACGAGGGGGGCGUCGCGGCCUAUCAGC